rnacentral:rRNA from 1 species
GUCGAGAAUCUUCCGCAAUGCGCGAAAGCGUGACGGAGCGACACCGCGUGAUGGAUGAAGUCCUUCGGGGCGUAAACAUCUUUUAUAAAGGAGGAAAUUUUUGACGUUACUUUAUGAAUAAGGGGCUCCCAAUCUCGUGCCAGCAGGAGCGGUAAUACGAGAGCCUCAAGCGUUAGCCGGAAUCAUUGGGCGUAAAGGGUGCGUAGGUGGUUUGAUUAGUCUCCCGUUAAAACUUCGAGCUUAACUCGAAAAGAGCGGGGGAAACGGUCAAACUAGAGUAUGUGAGAGGUGUGUGGAACUCAUGGUGUAGGGGUGAAAUCCGUUGAUAUCAUGGGGAACACCAAAAGCGAAGGCAGCACACUGGCACAUCACUGACACUGAGGCACGAAACCUAAGGUAGCGAAUGGGAUUAGAUACCCGGGUAGUCC